UACGAAGGGGGCUAGCGUUGCUCGGAAUCACUGGGUUUAAAGGGUGCGUAGGUGGGCUAGUAAGUCCGUGGUGAAAUCUCCAAGCUUAACUUGGAAACUGCCGUGGAUACUAUUAGUCUUGAAUGUUGUGGAGGUAAGCGGAAUAUGUCAUGUAGCGGUGAAAUGCUUAGAUAUGACAUAGAACACCGAUGGCGAAGGCAGGUCUCUGGGCCACUACUGACGCUGAGAAGCGAAAAGCAUGGGGAGCGAACAGG
rnacentral:rRNA from 1 species